rnacentral:rRNA from 1 species
AAUCAACGCUGGCGGCGUGCCUAACACAUGCAAGUCGAACGCGAAAGCCCCUUCGGGGGCAAGUAGAGUGGCGUCCGGGUGAGUAACACGUGGGUAAUCUACCUCCGGGUGGGGAAUAACUCGCCGAAAGGUGGGCUAAUACCGCAUAAUGCAGCGGCACCGAAUGGUGAUUAGUUGUUAAAGCGGGGGACCUUAGGGCCUCGCGUCUGGAGAGGAGCCUGCGGCAGAUUAGCUUGUUGGUAGGGAAUGGCCUACCAAGGCUGCGAUCUGUAGCUGGUCUGAGAGGACGGACGGCCACACUGGGACUGAGACACGGCCCAGACUCCUACGGGAGGCAGCAGUGGGGAAUUUUCGCAAUGGGCGAAAGCCUGACGAAGCAACGCCGCGUGGAGGAUGAAGGCC